GUGCUCGAUUCAGCAGCACAUAUGCUAAAAUUGGAUCGAUAUAGAGAAGAUUAUCAUGGCCUCUGUACAAGGAUGACAUGCAAAUUUAUGAAGUAUUUUAUAAUUUU